UGAAAAGCACUUCGAACAGAAGAGUGAAAUAGUCCCUGAACCCAUACGCCUACAAGCUGUCGGAGCCGCUUCGUGCGGUGACGGCGUGCCUUUUGCAUAAUGAGCCUACGAGUUACUCAUCACCAGCGAGGUUAAGUACUUCAGGUACGUAAGCCGAAGCGAAAGCGAGUCUGAAUAGGGCGUCAAGUUGGUGGUGGUAGACGCGAAACCUUAGUGAUCUACCCAUGGGCAGGGUGAAGGUUUGGUAACACAAACUGGAGGCCCGAACCGGUAAACGUUGAAAAGUUUUCGGAUGACCUGUGGGUAGGGGUGAAAGGCCAAUCAAACUGGGAAAUAGCUCGUACUCUCCGAAAUGCAUUUAGGUGCAGCCUCUGUUGUUUUGUUCUAGAGGUAGAGCUACUGAUUGGAUGCGAGGGCUUCACCGCCUAUCAAAUCCGGCCAAACUCCGAAUGCUAGAACAUGAAGACAGGGAGUGAGCCAGCGGGUGCUAAGGUCCGUUGACGAAAGAGGGAGAACUCAGACCAUCAGCUAAGGUCCCCAAUUAUAUGCUAAGUUGGAAUUAAAACGGGGUGGGACUGCUUAGACAGCUAGGAUGUUGGCUUGGAAGCAGCCAUUCAUUUAAAGAGUGCGUAACAGCUCACUAGUCGAGCGGUCCUGCAUGGAUAAUACGCGGGCAUAAGCAUAUAACCGAAGCUAUGGGAUUGUAGAUGAUACAAUCGGUAGGAGAGCAUUCCAUUCAGCGUAGAAGCAGUAUCGUGAGGUAUUGUGGAGCGGAUGGAAAAGCAAAUGUAGGCAUAAGUAACGAUAAUGCGGGUGAGAACCCCGCACGCCGAAAGAUCAAGGAUUCCCCGGCAAUGUCAAUCAUCCGGGGGUAAGUCGGAUCCUAAGGGUAAGCCGAGUGGCGAUCCCGAUGGUAAACAGGUUAAUAUUCCUGUACUGAUCAUAACUGCGAUGCAGCGACGCAGAGGUGACACUGCUGCGUACUGACGGAAUAGUACGUUGAAACCCGUAUUCUUUGAUACCGGUAGUGAAGCACGCCGGUAGAGAUGAAAGGUGAUAGUACCGCAAUGCUUCGGUUGCGCGGAUAACGCAGGUAAGCUGACUGCCAAGAAAACCUGCUAAGCUUCAGGUAAUGAUCAUCCGUACUGUAAACGGACACACGUGAUCAGGUAGAAAAUACUAAGGCGCUCGAGAGAUUCAUGGUUAAGGAACUAGGCAAAAUGGUCCUGUAACUUCGGGAUAAAGGACGCUCUUGUGAAAGAGCCGCAGAUAAUAGGCCCAGGCGACUGUUUACCAAAAACACAUGGCUAUGCUAAUUCGCAAGAAGAUGUAUAUGGCCUGACACCUGCCCGGUGCCGGAAGGUUAAGAGGAGAGCUCAGAGGUAACUCGAAGUGUUGAAUUGAAGCCCCGGUAAACGGCGGCCGUAACUAUAACGGUCCUAAGGUAGCGAAAUUCCUUGUCGGGUAAGUUCCGACCUGCACGAAUGGGGUAACGAUCUGGGUACUGUCUCAACCAUGAGCUCGGUGAAAUUGUAGUUCCGGUGAAGAUGCCGGAUACCCGCAACGGGACGGAAAGACCCCGUGAACCUUUACUGCAGCUUUGCAUUGAUUUUGGGUAACAGAUGUGUAGGAUAGGUCGGAGGCUUUGAUGCUGCGUCGUCAGGCGUAGAGUAGCCGUCGUUGAAAUACGACCCUUUUGUUAUCUGAGGUCUAAUCCCGUUAGGGAGACAUUGCAUGGUGGGUAGUUUGACUGGGGUGGUCGCCUCCAAAAGUGUAACGGAGGCUUCUCAAGGUACCCUCAAGGCGUUUGGUAAUCGUCUGCAGAGUGCAAUGGCAUAAGGGUGCUUGACUGUGAGACCGACACGUCGAUCAGGUUGGAAACAAGAGCAUAGUGAUCCGGUGGUUCCGCAUGGAAGGGCCAUCG
rnacentral:rRNA from 1 species